rnacentral:rRNA from 1 species
GAUGAACGCUAGCUACAGGCUUAACACAUGCAAGUCGAGGGGCAGCAGGGAUUUAGCUUGCUAAAUUCGCUGGCGACCGGCGCACGGGUGCGUAACGCGUAUCCAACUUUCCCGUUACUCAGGGAUAGCCUUCCGAAAGGGAGAUUAAUACCUGAUGGUGUUUGAAAUCCGCAUGUUCUUCAAACUAAAGAUUUAUCGGUAACGGAUAGGGAUGCGUGACAUUAGAUAGUAGGCGGGGUAACGGCCCACCUAGUCUACGAUGUCUAGGGGUUCUGAGAGGAAGGUCCCCCCACACUGGAACUGAGACACGGUCCAGACUCCUACGGGAGGCAGCAGUGAGGAAUAUUGGUCAAUGGUCGGAAGACUGAACCAGCCAAGUAGCGUGAAGGAUGAAGGUUCUAUGGAUUGUAAACUUCUUUUAUAUAGGAAUAAAACACCUUACGUGUAGGGUCUUGUAUGUACCGUAUGAAUAAGCAUCGGCUAACUCCGUG